CACUUGGUUUAUUUUCCUUUGCAGGGCUCUGUCUGCAGAAGGGUGGAAAUGGUUUUCCCCCGCCGCAGGAGAAGAAAGCGUUUAUGGAGCGGCAUUUCUGAGCAGUCUGAAAGGGGCGUUCUGGUUUAAUACAAUUCCUCUAUUUGGCAGGACGUGGAUAUCUUAGCGGACACGGUUACUGCACUAAGCAUGCCGCCUCUCCGUGCACCUCGGAGAGCAGCGGGGCAAGCCGGCCCCCCUCCGCUACCCGCGACCGCGGCGCGGUACGGCCGGCAGGGGGCGCUGCGCGAGCGGCUCUGUGCGCUCCUCCCACCCCCGGCCCGGAUGUUUGGCAACGCAGGGGUUUGGGUUUGAGGCAAUGGAGGAGCUGGGAGAGUAGCAGUUCUUGCACGGGGUGUGCUGCGGUUAGCUCUGGAUGGCGGUAGCAGCACGGUGCUGCUGUAUCUCUUCAGCGAACAGCAUCUGACACCCGAACGUCAGGGCCGAUCCUCUCUGCGGUGCGCCCACAAUCACCAGGUCUUUGCAGUAUCUAUUACUGGAGAGAAUGCAUUGCUGCUACCUACACGUUGCCAGUACUGAUGAUGCUUGCUGUGGGUCUGGAUGAACUGCUCCAUCCAGCAUAUUCCCAGCUGAUUACAUGCAUAACUUCUGCUUGGAACCAGACUGGAUGCUGCCACAUGAAAUCAGUUUUCUCCUAAUGCUGUAUAGGGAACUUCAUGAAUGCGAAGGAACCAGAACCAUCCUGAGCACUGGUUUUACUUUGCUUCUGAAUGGGUUUGUUACAAUCUCAUACGCCUCCAGGAAGAAGCUGUUUCUGUGACAGAGCAGCACAGGAGAUAGGUUAGCAGCAGACAGGGGUGUGCGGCUGGGUCCCAUGGGCAGCAGGAGGUGAGGGUAUGUGGUGUGUGGAGAGGACCGGGGAUGAAAUGGUAAGAAAGGGAUGCAGUAGGAAGGGGAAGAGGAGAAGUAGGAAUGUUGGGUUGUAGCUGAACUGUGGGAACUGUGGUAGAUAGGGCAGCUGCAGCUGCCGUAGAAAGAGAGUGGAGUGUUGACCAUAGGUUGGGUGCAGUGCUGCCCACACCACUCUCCUGGCUGCGUCAUCCUUGUAGAACUUCGUUUCCAGGAUGAGGAAGCUCUUUUGUCCCAGUCUCCUGUUUCAGGUCUGAAAGAAGAUCUUGGAUCUCUUACCAGUCAUUCCUAGAGCUUAUGUCAAAGGAAAUGAAUUAGCAAGUAGUCUAAACUGCUCCCUUCAUCAUAUUGCAGAAGAAGACAGGCUGGUCAGGGAUAUCAGCAGCUAUUCAGAGCAGAGAUGAGACAUGGAGAAAGACACAUCUUGAUGAAGUCCAGAUCCAGAUGAGAGAUUUGAUCUUUGACCGUCCUUCACCAUAGCAAAGUCCACGGGUAGGGGGAUAACUGAGAAAGCUAAUUUGUCAUUUAUUCCUUCCGUAAGGAAACUUGUUCCUGGCUCCCUUUCUCCUCUGUAGAGUGCUUGGCUAUCCCAGAGUGCUCCUUUGUACAGCUGCAGGGCUGCUGGCACUUCUCAGAAGUUGUGCACCUAGAACGUCCCUGCCAGUGGCAUGUGUGAUUAGUGAGAAAUGAGCAGAGCACCAAGACAAUGGUCCUACAUCCAUCUGCGUGGGUCGGUGUUUGAUGUUGCACUGGUCCAGUUACAGCUACUCUCUGAACGAGUAUGGUUUAUCUGUUCGGUAACGCUGCUGUGCCUUUUUGAGGAAGAGCAAGCACUGUGAGGACCGCAUGCUCAACAUAGGAAAACAUUUCCUUCAUUGUGGGGGCAGGAGAAUCUCUCACAUGUGCUUAACGGUAGGACUAGAGACUCACAGGACUCUGCCCCUUCUUCAGAAGCCAAAUCAGAUAUACUCAUAAUGUGAAUGUGUUUUAUUUGCAUUAGCACAGGUGCACUGUUGCAUCCCAGCUAGGUAGAGAGGCUAUUUCCAAACUGUUGAUGCAAAACAAGCUGAAACAAGAGCAUCCAUCAAACUACCAAAUUGUCAUUCACAAGAAGUAUGGAGGCAAUUUUUGUUUAGAUAAAAUUUGCUGGUAAGACAGCAAUGAACACGAGAUAUUCAGCGUUCUAAUAAAAUAGUAAUGCUGCAAGCUCAGCGGCUCAUAAAACAUUUACAAUCUGCAGCUAGUAAAGUGCAAACAAGAGAUUUAAACACUGCUGUUGCUAGAUGGAUGGAAACCAGUUAGAAGAUUAGCUGGAAGAUUAUUCCACACAGGUUAGGAUGAGGUUCAUUAAAUGCCUAUCAGUUUUCUCAUUUGCUGUAGCAGACAGAGAGAACUGUAGGAUUAUACCUGGUGAAGUAAUGCUCAUUUGUGGCUCAGAUGGUAAGCCAAACUAGCUCUUCUCCCAGUUUCUUCUUGUGGUUGCUCAGAGCCCCACAUGUGUUGAAGGACAUUGCUGGUUUCAAGCACUGAGCACUUCUUCUUUCACUUCUCUCAUCUCCCUAUAUCCAGAGUUUUUAGGGGCAGUAUUAGCAGUUGCUCUUAUAUGUUCCCAUUCAUUAUAUGUGAUCAUUAUUACACCCCAAGCUUGGGUUCUGGGGAGUGGGAUGAAGAAGGAGGCGUGGUUGGGAGCCCAAGGGAAGCUCAAGGUUGCUGGGGGAAAGGAAAAUGAAAAGAGAAUUCUCUUCUAAAGAAUUAAGCAAAGCUUCAGAAAGGAAGAUGGCUACUUCAAAAUGAGAUUGAAGAUAAAGCAGUGUGAUUUCUCAGGAUACUGCUGGCACUGUGAGUGUGUAAUGGUGAGGGCUUUCGCUGGGAAUUCACUGCAAACAAGAACAACAGGAAGAUCAGUGAAGUUACAGCCCAAGAGACAGGUAAGUAAAGCUGAACUCAAAGGUUGGGAUUUUAGUUUCGAUAUUUAAGAAUGUGUUAGUACAAAGAAAACUGAAGGCAAUGCCCAGUCUAAAUCUGCCUUCUUUUAGUCUGAAACCAUUUCCCUUUGAUUUAUCACAGCAGGCCCUCUCAAAGGGUCUGUCCCCUUCUUUCUUAUAACCCCCCUCUAGACACUGAAAGGGCCCCACUUUAGACACUUCAACUUGUGCAUCAUCAGCAUGUAGCAUGAAACCUGAUGAAAUCUAUGUGGAUAUGCUGAGUGUAGCUGGUGAAGUGUAGGGCUUUAGUUAGACAUAAUGCAAGGAUGAUGUCAGCUGGCUGAGUUCUCCAGCAGCUGGAGCUCCAGCAGUUCUUACAGCAGGGAAGUUAGAUCCAAAGCAUACCUGCAUCACAGUUGCUGUGUAUUCGGCAUGCCUCCCUUUCUGAAACUGUGUACCUUGCUGCUCACUGAAUUGCCAGCAUACAGAACAGUACAAAAUGCUGACUGAACUCAUUCAUGCAUUCUAGACAGUUUGCUUAAACUUAGUAGGCAGAACUUUCUGAGAACUUCAUGAGUGCAUGAACUUUCAGUUUGAUUUCAGAUAACGUAUAUGGACACUUCCUAAUAGCUACGUAACACUUACAGGAGAUGGCGAAACUAGAGUUGAGCAGGAAAACAAACCUAUCCAGCACGAUGGAAGAGCUGAGGAAUUCAGCUCAGGUCAUGGAAGUUUGAAUGGAAUUCCUUGGGUGCAAAGGAGAUAACCCAAGUACCACAGGUAUCUGAAGUAAUAAUGAAACAUUUCAGUGAGAACUAAGUUAAAUUAGAGUCUAUUACAUAUAUUUUAGAUUUCCACAAUCUGCUGGAUCUUUAACUUAAAAGUUUAUACCUUUUAGUGGAAAAAUUAUUUUCUCUUUCACAAGUUCCACUUAGAUUUUGUUGCUAAUAAACCCAAGGAUGUAAAUACUAUUAAGUACAAAACAGCCUGCUGCAUAAUUGUUUCUAAGCAAUUACAGAUUAUAUCGAGCCAUUCAUUGAGCAGAAACAGUUUUUUCCAAGACACCAGCUUCCCGUACCUUGAAAUUUUAUUAGUCUAAGAAUUUCAUGUACCAUAUGUUGUAAUAGGAGACUAACUGCAAUUGAACAAACAACUUUCUGAUAUAUAAGUGAAUGAUAACCUGAUUUUAAAUGUGUUUAUCUAAUGAGAUAGUAACUGUAAUUUACAGCACAUAUAAAAACUCCCACUGUUACUCCUGGUGCACCUUUUGGCUAAAAAGGGUGAUGCGCUGAGAUAUGCUAAUGAACAUCGUCUUGGUUUUUACCAAGUCAGUAAUAAAAUUUGCAUUCGAUAUUGUGCACAGUAAACUGGGUUAUUAGCCUUGAAAAUGAGUCUCAUAAAAUUUAAAUAUAGGCUUAAAUCAUAUUAACUGUCCUGUAGGUUUUCUGAGAGGCUUUAAAGCAUUGUGCUCUCGUUCUAUAGCACUGAGAAUGCAGAUGUCAUUUUGCCUUCAGGGGUGCCCAAAAUGUGAGCUCAUCAGAGCCCAUGGGAUGAGCACAGAUCAGCCCCUUGCUCCCCAACACCCAGGGAAUGAGAGGUCUGAGGAAACCGCAGUGCUAAGAGAAAGGAAAAGGGGAGAAGGAGAUGAUCUGGGCACAGAGCCCCAGUUCAGUGGCAGAGAGGAGCCUGCUUCUGCCAGGCACUAAGUGUUCCUGCACACAUCAAGGUUAGGGCUUAAGUGCUUUAAAACACAGUGCAAAGCUCCAUCUGUUUUGAGAGUGUGGUGGUAAAAUUAUUAAUCAUUAGGAUUUGAGAGGCCAGGCUAAGAGAUUUAUCGUGACUAAAAAAUUGUUCUCUGCCAAAUGAUUGUGGAGACCCUACCUGUAACCAAAUGCAGGAAAAAAACCCCACAAAAUUACACAAUGCCAUGAAAUGCUGUAUAUCCAUUGAGGGAAAUGACAACUCCCAAACCGGACACUCAAGAGGUGUACUGUGGCUGAAAGAAAUAAAGAAUACUCUUUGCAUAUCUGUGCAGGGUCUUCUGUUACGACACAAAUGCAACAGUGAUAACGUUACAGCCCAGUGAAAUACUCCUAUGAAAUCCCAAUUCUUUUUAGUGAUCAAAGGAAGAGUGUCUGGGCACUGUGCGAAGCACUGUGCAAACUGCUCCAAAGGACAGUACCUGGACUGGAUACAAGGAUGUAGCACAGAAGUCUAUGAACUUCUCCAGAAAUGAAUCCAAAUGGCUGACAUUACACUUACUUUAGUAAGGUGUGAUAUAAUAUUUGUACACGGUAUUGUUUUUGACCACUAGCAAAGUGAAUGUGGACAGCAAACAACAGCAGCUUUGUGUCAGAGCACAGUGACCACCUGCUUGAACAGACACAAAGUCCAUCUCAUCUCUCCUCUUUUCUGCAGUAGUGACAGGUCCUGGUGCAUUGGAAAAGGAAUGGGCAGAGGUAAGGGACAGAGACUGCACUGCCUUCAGGGUCAGUCUCACCCCAACACUGGGAAAUAAGAGGUUGCCUUAAGGUCUGAAGAAUGAGACUGAAUAUGCCAACCACUCUGCCCUUGGCAUUGAUUAUUAAUAGCUCUGGAUAUAUUUUAUAGCCUUACUAUCGCCAACACUUUUUUAUUUUAAUGCAGACAACAUCACAUGUCUACACAGCAGCACGCUUCUCUCCCUUUUGCUCCACACUGAACAAACUCCGUAUGGUAACAUGAGGACCCUGUGGCACGUCACUGUGCUAGGCUGGCUGCCAAGAGCCCACGGGCGUGAAAAGUGAAGGAGAAAAGAAUCAAAACAGAAAAGACUCAAAACAGAAAAGACAAGUUAAACAUUCUCCUGACCAUGGAGAAGGGAGGGUUCCCUGGCAGGGCAGGAAGAUUUCUCCUGUAGGUGCUGCACCUUGGGGCAGCUCACAUAGCCCUCUGUCUCUGUCUGUUCCAGCGCGUUGGGAUUUGGCAGGCACCCGAGCUGCAUUAUGUGGCAUUAAAAGAGGUUGACGCAUCCUUUGGCUGAGACAUCUCUCCCAAAUGAGUCUUCCCUGUUCAGCCUAAAGAAGAGGAAGCACCAGGCUGUUCCCCCAUGUCUUGCUGCUAAUAGCACGGCCCCACAGACCACCUAGCAGGUUCUUCCUCAUGCGGCCGGCUGGCUGUGAGAUAUUCGCCUCAGUAUUCCACUUAUCUAAAGCAUCCACAGCGUUUCUGGAUAGAGAGUUCCCAGGAGAAAAAUAAAUGACCCCAGCUGUAAUCACAGCCUUGCCUUUGGUUUUACCUACUUCUGGCUGAAUGCAUUGACUUGUACUUGUCACAGAGCAGUGAAGCAGAGCAGAGAUGUAGGAAUCACCUUGCAGAUUUUCUCUUGUCCUGCAGGCUACCCUCGUGCAUCCUCAGCAUUUGGAGGGUCCUGUGCAUUUCAGCCCUCAGAACUGGAAUGCUGUUGUCUGUACCAGCAUAUUCCAUCCUCAUUGUUUCCAUGUAGUGUAAUAACACCAGUGCUGACAAUGGUUUAUUAGCUGAUUUAUAGGGGUAAAUCAGGGGUAAAUUGAGACCUCCUUUAGAAAGCCUCCAAUUCACAAUGCCAAGAUAUGCUGAACACAAAAACUCAUGUGGGGGAAGAGAAAGGAUCAGAACAAUACUGACACUGUGUGGAGCAAGGUUAUAUAUGCAAUCACGCAAUCUCAUGAGGUCUGUGCAGAAGGCACAGCAUGCAAUGUGGUGGAGUGGGAAGUAGCACUAUCAGCUGUUGUGUUGGCUCAGAAACAUGUAAAUAUUUCUGGGAAAAAAAAAAAAACAAAACCAAAAGUAAAAUGUUAUUCUUUGUUGGGAAGAGGGAGAAUUUAAGGUGGAAUUCUGCUAGGCCCAAACUCAGUUUUCCAGUUUUGGCUUUACUCUCAAGAAAGAAAACAGAAGAGAUAGUUGAAAGACAGAAAAAACAUGUCUUGGUUUUGCUUGGACUGCUAUUUAAAAAAAAA